UACGUAGGUGACAAGCGUUGUCCGGAUUUACUGGGCGUAAAGAGCGCGCAGGCGGUCGUUCAAGUCGAGUGUGAAAGCCCCCGGCUCAACUGGGGAGGGUCACUCGAUACUGAUCGACUCGAAGGCAGGAGAGGGAAGUGGAAUUCCCGGUGUGAGUGGUGAAAUGCGUAGAUAUCGGGAGGAACACCAGUGCGAAGGCGACUUCCUGGCCUGUUCUUGACGCUGAGGCGCGAAAAGCUAGGGGAGCAAACGGGG
rnacentral:rRNA from 1 species